GUUGAUGUUUCUACAAAAGACUGUUUUCUAUUUCCAUCAUGUAGCAAGUCACACUGGAUGCUUUGUGAGGGUUGCUCAGACUGUUAUUCCUGGCCAUUGGACUGAGAUUUCCUGUAAAGAUCUUCCGGAGAUUCCAAUGCAGCAUUUCUCCAAUAAUUGUGGAGUU